rnacentral:rRNA from 1 species
AAUCAACGCUGGCGGCGUGCCUCAGACAUGCAAGUCGAACGAUUAAAGCUCCCUUCGGGGAGUGCAUAAAGUGGCGCACGGGUGAGUAACACGUAAGCAAUCUACCCUCGGGUGGGGAAUAACAUCGGGAAACCGAUGCUAAUACCGCAUAAUGCAGCGGCACCGCAAGGUGACAGUUGUUAAAGAUUUAUUGCCUGGGG